rnacentral:piRNA from 1 species
AAGACUGUGGGCUUGAGCGAGCAG